rnacentral:rRNA from 1 species
AACGAACGCUGGCGGCACGUUUUAAGCAUGCAAGUCGAAUGGCAGUGGGGGCAACCCCAUGAGAAUGGCGAACGGGUGAGUAACACGUAGGUGAUCUGCCUGACGGAUGGGGAUAGCUUGUGGAAACACAGGGUAGUACCGCAUGAGCUGACGAGACUUUGGGUUUGUUAGUAAAGGUGCUACGGCACCGCCGACAGAGGAGCCUGCGGCUGAUUAGCUAGUUGGUGGGGUAAAGGUCUACCAAGGCGACGAUCAGUAGCCGGCCUGAGAGGGUGUACGGCCACACUGGAACUGAGACACGGUCCAGACUCCUACGGGAGGCAGCAGCUAAGAAUCUUCCGCAAUGGGCGAAAGCCUGACGGAGCGAUGCCGCGUGAUCGAUGAAGGUCGAGAGAUUGUAAAGAUCUUUUCUACAUGAGGAAUAAGUCUGGGAGGGAAUGCCUGGAUGAUGACGUUAGUGUAGGAAUAAGCCCCGGCUAAUUACGUGCCAGCCGCCGCCGUAA